GGUCUGGUGGUCUAGCGGUAUGAUUCUCGCUUAGGGUUCACCCUACAGCUUCUGUUUGCGAGAGGUCCCGGGUUCAAUCCCCGGCCAGACCC